UAGGGAAUCUUCGGCAAUGGGGGGAACCCUGACCGAGCAACGCCGCGUGAGUGAAGAAGGUUUUCGGAUCGUAAAGCUCUGUUGUUAAGGAAGAACGUGUGUGAGAGUGGAAAGUUCACACAGUGACGGUACUUAACCAGAAAGGGACGGCUAACUACGUGCCAGCAGCCGCGGCAAUACGUAGGUCCCGAGCGUUGUCUGGAUUUAUUGGGCGUAAAGCGAGCGCAGGCGGUUAGAUAAGUCUGAAGUGAAAGGCAGUGGCUCAACCAUUGUAGGCUUUGGAAACUGUUUAACUUGAGUGCAGAAGGGGAGAGUGGAAUUCCAUGUGUAGCGGUGAAAUGCGUAGAUAUAUGGAGGAACACCGGUGGCGAAAGCGGCUCUCUGGUCUGUAACUGACGCUGAGGCUCGAAAGCGUGGGGAGCGAACAGGAUUAGAUACCCUGGUAGUCCACGCCGUAACGAUGAGUGCUAGGUGUUAGGUCCUUUCCGGGACUUAGUGCCGCAGCUAACGCAUUAAGCACUCCGCCUGGGGAGUACGACCGCAAGGUUG
rnacentral:rRNA from 1 species